UUUAAAAAUGUAAACAGGUCAGAAAAGAUUAAUGAAAAUUUAAAAAUGCAAAACUUCCUUGCAGAAGGAAGUGGGAAAUACAGCAGAAAAAGGGAGUUCUAGUACAGAAGAAGUAAAAAAAGACUGAGCUGGUCUUUCAGAGCGUGCAUUGUGCUGUCUAUGCCUUCACGAUAUGAAACACAGCGGCCAGAUUUUAGACGUAGACGGGAUUAGCCUCCCAAACAACUUGGUUCCUCUGGGAUUGGCCAGCUGUUAGGAGCCAUGCACCAGAGCAUCGACGUUGGAGUUACCCGGAUCGAUGGGCUGCUGACAAGCCCACACCUGGGAGAGCCUCCGAGGGUUUCUGCCUGCCAGAGGCUGCUGAAUGGGGCUGGCCAGCAACAGGGGUAAAGACUGGUCCAGGAUGUAACUCCUUACAUCUGACACUGCUCAGUGUUUCAGGGCCGACGUUGCCCUGCAGGGCUAAACGUUGCAGCAUCUACCUACAGAGUUAGGAUCUUUGGGAUAGGAAAAACCUUCCUGGGGCACGCUGCCUUAUGCAGGCUGUGCAACCGCGGGCACGUCCUACGCGCCCCGUCCCCGGCGCAGGGGACGCAGCCCCGACCCCUUUGCCGUGCGACGCCGGAGCACGCCCAGCCCAGGACGGCUUCCCUCCCCUCCGCGCCAGCCUCCCCGCAGGAAACUCAACCUCCCUUCGAGUGGCUCCCGAGAUGGGGAGAGCGUCACUGCCUCCUAGCAACCCUCCUAGCAACCGGCCAACAUCUGCUCCCGCUGGACCAAUCCGGGCGGCGAACAUCUGGCCACCCACCUCCGGCUUCUCCUCGGCCAGGGGGGGAUGAGCUCCUCCGGGGCUGGGCGGGCUUUGCUCACGGGAUCUCCCUGAGGAGUUAGCAGGUGUUUGUUUGCACAGAGGAAGUUUUUUGGGGGCUGUUUGCAACCCCGCGGCAUCCUCCGCGGCUUUGCUGCAUCAUGAACGAGGGCGAGUAGCCGAGGGGACGGCUU
rnacentral:lncRNA from 1 species